AACGAACGCUGGCGGCAUGCCUAACACAUGCAAGUCGAACGAUUGCCUUCGGGUGAUAGUGGCGCACGGGUGCGUAACGCGUGGGAAUCUGCCCUUAGGUUCGGAAUAACAGCUGGAAACGGCUGCUAAUACCGGAUGAUAUCGCGAGAUCAAAGAUUUAUCGCCUGAGGGUGAGCCCGCGUUGGAUUAGGUAGUUGGUGGGGUAAAGGCCUACCAAGCCGACGAUCCAUAGCUGGUCUGAGAGGAUGAUCAGCCACACUGGGACUGAGACACGGCCCAGACUCCUACGGGAGGCAGCAGUGGGGAAUAUUGGACAAUGGGCGCAAGCCUGAUCCAGCAAUGCCGCGUGAGUGAUGAAGGCCCUAGGGUUGUAAAGCUCUUUUACCCGGGAAGAUAAUGACUGUACCGGGAGAAUAAGCCCCGGCUAACUCCGUG
rnacentral:rRNA from 1 species